UACGGAGGGUGCAAGCGUUAAUCGGAAUUACUGGGCGUAAAGCGUACGUAGGCGGCUUGUUAAGCAAGAUGUGAAAGCCCCGGGCUCAACCUGGGAAUGGCAUUUUGAACUGGCAGGCUCGAGUUCUGAAGAGGGUGGUAGAAUUUCCAGUGUAGCGGUGAAAUGCGUAGAUAUUGGAAGGAAUACCAGUGGCGAAGGCGGCCACCUGGUCAGAAACUGACGCUGAGGUACGAAAGCGUGGGGAGCAAAC
rnacentral:rRNA from 1 species